rnacentral:lncRNA from 1 species
CUAAUUGACAAAGGGGUGGGCCCCGCUCCUACUACAUCAUUAUUUAAUAGCUAAAUUGACAUAAAAUGUAACGGAGGUCUGAAAUUGCAACGAAUUAAUACAUUGAGGUAUGAUAUUGCAAUAUUUAAAACAUGAGGUAUGAGAUUGUGAUUUGACCUAUAGUAAAGGUAGUUUUAUGUAAUUUACCCAAUUAUUUUACUGUUUCUAUUUUGAUAAAUUAUAUUGAUAAAGUAAAAGAUUAUAACAAGAGUAAAUUGUAACAAUAGUCUCUCAAUUUUAAUUAAAUUAGAGUAAUGGUCCCUCAACUAAAAAUUCAUUACCAUUGGUUCCUUAACUCAUCAAAACGUAUAGUUAUAGUCCUUUUCGUAUACUCCGUUAGAAUUCUGUCACAAUGAGUUAUGUUGGAAUGAUCAUUGCUAAAAUUGGGUUAAAGUUGAGGAACCAUUUCUUUAGUUGAAUUAAAAUUGAGGGACCAUUGAUACAAUUUUUCUUUCUUGAUCUUUCAUAUUUGCCCCUUGAUUUAGCCUCACAUGAAUGACACGUUACUCAUUUUAACAAAAAUGUUCUAAUGGAGUUGAUGAAAAUGACCAUAGCUGCAUGUUUUGAUGAAUUAAGGGACUAAUGAUAAUGAAUUUUUAGUUAAGUGACCAUUGCUCUAAUUAAGUUAAAAUUGAAAAACAAUUGCUACAAUUUACUCUUGCACCUAGGAGGGUUAAAAAGUCAACUCAUAUCAUAGAGAAUUAGGCAAAGGGUUGCUAUACACGAGAACCUAGACUGCGAUGCUAAUGCAACCUACUCUUUUUCCCACUUAAGAGUAAUAUGGGAAACUCGAAUUUUACCGUUGUCUUUUUCUCUUUUCUUUUUUAAAUUUUAUUAUUAUUAAAUGGAUGGGGUAAAAUUGGAAACUAAUUAAAUAAUUAAAGGAAGACGAGAGUUUUGAACUGAAAUAAAAUUCUAACACUAAAAUAUUAAAUCACAUAUCCACUAAAAUAUUAAAUCACAUGUAAAUUUUACCUUUAUCUCUACUAUGGGAAAGUGGUGUGGACCAAAGAUGCUCCCACCUCUAUAUGGAAAGGAGCAUAUAGGAGAGCUUGUGUCUAAAAGUGUUUUUCUCUUUCAUUAUUGAAAUGAGAGCACUAGCGAGUAACGAGUGCUUUUAAGAUAUUGAAUUACUUUUUAUAUUAUCAAUUAGUUUUAAGGUAUAAUUUAAAUUUUUUCAUGGUAUCAGCAAGUUGACUCAUGUGUGAAAUCCAACAGCUACAUAUGCUUCAUGUCACUCAAUUAGUGUUUUCUAAGUGGUUGGCUUGAAAAUUCGUCAUACACGAGGGAGGAUGUGAGAAUGUGAAGGUAAAAAAGUUACACAUCAGUGGAAGGAGAAAUUUUGUAAGGACUUAUAAGAGGUUGAUUUGCAUCUCAUAUUACAAAUUAAUUUUAUGAUAAAAUCUCAACUUUCUUCAUUUAUUUCUUGAAAACAUGAUUAAUCAAGUAAUUAUUUAGCGAUCGAUGGGACACAAAUGGAGAACCAAUUCCGUAGAAAUGUAGUCCUUUCACAUUUGAGGAGAUGUCAAUUAUUGUUGCUGCAUGAUUUCAAAUGUCAAUUAUUGUUGCUGCAUGAUUUGAGAUGUUUCCACUCCCUUGCUUCCCUCAAUACUCCCUUAAGCAAGAGGCUGAGGAGUUUUUUUUUUUUUUUUUCAAACAAACGAUAUUGUUUAUAUUAAAGAAAAUAAAGUAGGUUUAAUCUCAUAAUAGGCUAACAAUAAUGUGGUUCAAAUUCGCCUUUGCGAUAAUCAAACAUAAGAUAUCUCACUUACAAGUAAAGAAAAAUAUCACUAGACCGUAGUACUAAUUGACUUGAGAAUUCAUUUUAUAACAACAAGAUAUUAUUAAGAAAAUGUAUUGUAAAAUUAUUUAACGAUUUCUUAUAAAAACACGUGAUAUGGCCCUAGCAUUAUUAAAAAUUUGAAAAUAAUUUUCACACACUUAUUUUAAUUUUUUUAUCCAAUGAUUAAAAUUCAAGAAAAACAUAAAUGCACGACAAACAUAAAGGUGUGGAAAUCAUUUUUUCGGUGAAAGCACUAUCAGAAAUAGUCAAAUACCCCAAAAUAUGUUCAAAUACUCCAAAAAUAAAGGAUAAAGUAUAACAACACUUCUUGCGAAAGGCGUUAAUCGGAAUAAAGUAUGGUCUUUCAAAUGGGCAUCCAACUUUAAAAAAGUGUGAUAAUUGUAGGGGCAUAGUGUAAAGUGAAUAGAGUAUUGCUAUGACUAAUAGUUUACUAAUCAUGCGGAUUCGGAUCCUCUACUCGGUUUUAUUGUAUUUGUUGUUUGUUAAUUAUCACUGCACAUCACAAUUCAAAAGUGCUUGAGCAGAAGAGUGGUGGAUUUUUCAUUUUUAGUAUGUGGAAACAAAAAAAAUUUGGAACACAUAAAUUGCAACAUGUGAAAUACAUUUGAAAUAAAAAAAUAAAACAUAAAAACCUCAAGCGUACGAAGAGGAGUUUUAUUGAAUUCCUAACCAUUUUUUUCAUCUUGUUUUAAAGAGUCGUAAUUUCAAUUUUUUUUUAAAAAUUAAGAUGGUUUAAUCAAUUGUCAAUUCAGCAUUUUUGUAUUUAUUUAAUAUACAUCCACAUAAGCAAGCUACGACCAUCUCCAAAGGAGAUGUCAAAUUUUGAACAUAAAAUUUAAAUUUGACAGCCUACAUGGCACUUUGACAUAUUAACGUUUCACUCUCCACUCGAUAUGUCAAAUUAAAUUAUUAUUUUAUUACAUUAUUUUGUAUUCUUAAUUUUUGUUCUAUAUUUUAAAUUUUACACAUAUAAAUCAUUCAUGAUAAGUGAAACCCAACAAAUAACUUUUUUUUGGUUGAACACUAAUAAGGACAUGAUCCUCAUCUUUGUUGAACGAAUAACUUUUUUCUUGCUUCCAAACGCUGAAUUAAAGGAUGAGGCGAAAAAAAUUCGAGGCAUGUUCACUGUAUGAAGUUCUUUGUUGAACCCAGCACCACGAAUAACUUUUUUCUUGCUUCCAGACAACACACAAACUAUCAAGGACACACUUGAUAAGCUAUGACACUCACUUUCUAGAAAGACAAACUCUAGACCACUCUUGCUUCUCACUCUCUUACUUAGCUCUCUUCUUGGCUACUUUCUUCUUUGAUUGAUUGAUACAAAUGGUGUGGAUGACUUCUCCUUUUAUAGGCAUGGAUGGAACCUUGGAGAAGCAUGGAAACAUCAUGCUAGAGAUAUCUAGAUAAUUCCACUACCUUCCUAAGCUAGAAUUAUCUACACUAAUCUUGUAUGUUGGUGGAAUCCUCACCAUUCUUCUAAACUCUUCCACCAACUUGAACUUUGCUAGAAUUCUCCAACAUGUGUAUAGAUCUUUCUUUGUCUAUAGGCUGGAUCCAUCUUGGGCCAAGGCAAGAUUACACUUCAACACAAACUCUAAUUGGGCUGGUGUUGAUAUUUAAUACUCCCCCUCAACACCAACUCAUUCUUUCCUCCAUGCCGAGUUGACAAUGAAGCUUUUUCUUGCACACCCAUUUGCAUGAUAUGGGUUUCACAUCUCUUUGUUUUGGCACUAGAUUCCAAGCUUGAUUUAGCUCCACUGCAGUAACCUCUUUUCCCAAUUUUGAGCCACUCAUGUUCAUCUGCUUCUUCUUUAAUGGCUGCAUUGGUGUAUUUAGGAUUUUGUUUUCGGAUUCUUGUUGACCUCCUUAGUUGUGAUUGUGGAGUUGGUACUUCCACUUCACUAGGUCUAUCUUCUUCUGGUUGUUGAUAUACGCCAGCUUGCCAAGGGUUUUAGGGCACAACUAGCUCAACACCAUUACCAUCAAGUGAAUCCUCAUACUCAUCUAGUCUUGAUUGGAUUCGAACAGUUUGCUCCCUCAUCUUCUGUUGCAGCUUAUCAUCAACAUCUCUCGAAUCAGGCAAUGCCUCUUUUUUUCUGAAGACCACCAAGAAGAUGGUUCAUCAAACACCAUAUCUUGUGAUGUGUAACACCUUACAGUCGUAGUAUCACAACAUUUCCACCCUUUUCUUUGGCUGCAGUAUCCCACAAAGAUACAUCGGACUGCCUUCCUGUCAAACUUGCUACAUAGAUGGCUUGGAACAAAUGCGUAACAUACAUAGCCAAAUACUCGAAAGUAACCAACUGUAGGUUUCAUAUCCCAUAGUUUUUCAAAGGGUGAGACAAAUUCUAACCUUGGUUGAGAAAGCCUGUUGAUCACAUGAGCUGCAGUUCUCAUAGUUUCUGCCCAAAACUUUCCUGGUACAUUCUUGGCAUGGAGCAUACUUCGACAUAUUUAUGCAAGAUGCCGGUUCUUUCUUUUCGCUAUGUCAUUCUGUUAUGGCAUGUUGACACAUGUGAAUUGGUGACGUAUUCUAUAAUCUCUUAAAUACUGGGAAAACUCAUUUGAGGUAUAUUCUCCUCCAUUAUCCGUGCGUAUGCAACAGAUCUUCUUUCCCACUUAACUUCAAUUGUCUCCUUAAACUCUUUAAAUUUUGAAAAUGUUUUAGAUUUUUCUUUCAUAAAGAAAACCCACACAUACCUGGAGAAAUCAUCAAUGAACGUCACCAUGUACCGCAUCCCACUUAUCAAUGGUUGUUUGACAAGCCCGAACACAUCGGAAUGAACCAACUCCAAAGGUUUUUUCGCUUUAAACUUUGACUUUUAGUGUAGUAGCUGAUGUCCUUUACCAUAUUGGCAUCCUACACAAACCGUGUCUGUUCUCACGUCAAGCUGAGGUAGUCCAUUAAGCAUUGACUUCUUCAUCAUCACAUUUAGCUUAUGAUAGCUAACGUGACCCAAUCUCAUGUGCCAUAAAUCUGCUAUCUCGUUCUUCCUUGUCUUGUCUACGUAUGCAGUUUCUGUUCACAUUACAUAGACUGAUUGCAAUCGCUGUCUCUCCAUUGUUGGCGUCCCUAAGAACUUGAGGUGUUGAUACACCUUCACAUCUCGUGGACCAAACAAGACAUAAUUUCCUAAUGACGUUAGUUGCGGCACUAAAAACAUAUUUUUCUUCAUACCUGGAACAUGGUAAACAUCUUGAAACGGCACAUGGUUAAUUUUAUAUCGGGGCUCAAUUACUGUCUUACCGAUGUGAGCAAUCGGUAGCCUCGAGUUGUUGGCCGUCACCACCAAGCGGCCUCCUUUGCACUCAGUUAGACUUUGUAACGUUUUCUCAUCACUUGUCAUAUGGUUUGAGUAGCCUGAAACCACGAUCUAAUCAUUUUAGUAGUUAAUCGACUCUAGACUUACUGUUGUGAGAGCUGACUCUUGCUUCUCCAUAGCAGCGGAUGCUUCAACAUCUCAUUCUUCCUCCAAGGUUAGAGAUGCUACGGCAUCCCAGACAUCUUCACUUUUCUUCUCUGAAUUAGCGAUGUUACUUUCUGCAGACUUUUUGAACCAUCAAUCUUUUGCCAUAUGACCUUUCUUUCCACAAUUGUAACACUUACCCUCAAACCUUUUAUUGUUCUAGGACUGACCACGGUUGCCUUGAUACUUCAGAGCUCCCCCUGGCUGAGAAUUCCCUCAUUCUUGAUGACCAUUUUCCUUGUCACCAUUUCUUUUAGAUCCACCAUCAGUAUGCUGCUUAAAGCUACCUUUACUUUUGGUGUAGAGUCCUUCCUCCUCACCUCUUAACGAGACCCCUCCCAUUUGGUUUGCCAAAGCUUUAUGAUCGACAAGCAAAUUCGUAAACUCAACAAGUGAUGGUUGGGUCGGCCAUUGUUGUACAGCGGCAACGAAGCCUUGAUAUUCGGGUCUCAAUCCAUGGAUAAUUAUUCUUUUUAUCCUGGAUUCUACAAUGGUAGCAUUAGGAUCUAAUUUAGAAAUUUCACAGCAAAUAGACUUUACCUUGUGGAAAUAUUUUGCAAUCAUCAUGUCUCGUUGGGCCACCCAUAGCAACUCGUUCUCGAGAAGCUGGAGUCUUGUAUCGUUCCUCUUUGAAAAUAUUGUGGCGAAGGUGUCCCACACUUCUUUUGGUGUCUUGGCCUUCCGUAUGUGCUCCAACAUGUCAUCUUCAAUUGUGGGUUUUAAGGCAAACAUGGCCUUACCUGCCUUGAUCUUCGACUUCCUUAAAAUGCCGCUGAUGUUUUCUUCCGGCUGCAUAACUUCAUUACCGCCGACGACAUCCUAAAGGUCUUGGCCUUAUAGGUAAGACUCUAUGCACUCGCCCAUGUGUUAUAAUUUUUGUUGUUCAACUUCUUAAUUCCUCCAACAACUUGAAGAUCUCCCAUCGUGUCAGUAGAACUUCAAUAAGCUGAACAAGAUUAACGAAUAAUCUUGCGAAGUACUAAACUUCUCACGAUUCUAAAAAACUUCACUAGAGACGAUCUCCGAUCGUACCGUUCUGAUACUAAUUGUUGGGGAAAAACUUAAAGUACACAACUCUAACACAAGUAUUGGAGAGACAACACAAGUAAACAAAUUAUUUGUAUUACACUCACAAAAGAUUACAACACACAAACUAUCAAGGAUAAACUUGAGAAGCUAUGACACUCACUUUCUAGAGACAAACUCUAGACCACUCACACUCCUACAAGACUACUCUUACUUCUCACUCUCUUACUUAGCUCUCUUCUUAGCUACUUUCUUCUUUGAUUGAUUGAUACAAAUGGUGUGGAUGCCUUCUUCUUUUGUAGGCAUGGAUGGAACCUUGGAGAAACAUGGAAACAUCAUGCUAAAGAUAUCUAGAUGAUUCCACUACCUUCCUAAGCUAGAAUUAUCUACACUAAUCUUGUAUGUUGGUGGAAUCCUCACCAUUCUUCUAAACUCUUCCACCAACUUGAACUUUGCUAGAAUUCUCUAGCAUGUGUAUGAAUCUUUCUUUGUCCGUAGGCUGGAUCCAUCUUAGGCCAAGGCAAGAUUACACUUCAACAUAAACACCAAUUGGGCUGGUGUUGAUCUUCAACAUGUUUCUCAUCCAUUAUGUACACACAUAUCCCAUAAACAUUCACCAAUUUUCUUUACCAAUUAAUUAAUCUUUUUUCAUAUCCUCUGUUUUGCCUCCCCAGAGCUUCGGGAGCUAAUCCCAAGAGGCCUUCAUUCUCUAAUCUUUAUCGUAACUCUAUCAUUGAUUAAAAACAGAAAGAAAGAGGCAGGAUAUGAACUGACUACACGUUCAACAAUCAACAUUUAUUAUAAUAAAUGAUUAAACUAAUUAAAAAAUAUUUAAUAAUUAAUUAAAAAAUAUUUGAAGCUGCUGUCAAAUUUGAUAGAAGCCCCCUUCGCUGCCAUUCCAUGUCAUGCCACAUAGAAUUUGACACUUUGGUUGGAAACAAUUAGUGGCUGUCUUUUUUUACUGUUAUAACUUAUGUGGACAUUUUGACAUCUACUUUGGAGAUGCUCUAAUAACUAUUUCCUACAGUCUAAGGAUUUUAAAUUUGUGACUUUAUUAAUUAAAAAUAUUAAUUUAACUAAUUCCUUAUUGUCAUUGCAAGUGGCAUUUUACUACAGUAGUAGAAAUGUGUUGAGUCCUUGCAUGGCGGCGUGGGUUCAAACUUUGUCGGUGACUAGUCUAACAUAUAAUUUAUUAAAAUUUAAUAAUCUAUUGUUUGACCAAAAAAAAAAUCUUUAUUGUCAUUAAAAAAAGAGAGAAUUUUUUAUUUCUAUUAUUAUAUUUAAUUAGUCUCUUGCUACAUUAAAAAAAAGAAGUUAUUAAUACUUUCAUAAGAAAGCUUCAUUAAUUUGGUAAAAUUUUACAUAUAGUUAUAUAAAUGUAUUUAAAACUUAUGGUACAUUUGAAAAUAAACGUACCGACUUUUAGUACGUUUAGAUUUUAAAUGUACUAAUAAAUAAAUGUACCAUAAAACCAAAAUUGCUCAUAUUAUAGGUAAUCAAAUGAACUAAUACAAUCAAACGAUCAUACAAUCAAACGUACCUUUACUAUGAUUAUGUAUGUGAUAAUGAGUUUUGAACAUUCUAUUUAAUUCACUAAACUAAAUAGUAUAAUAAACAAUAAAAAAAAUCUAAAAUCUCCAGAAUGAGAGAUGCAUAUAACUACAACAAAUUCAUAGGUAAGGAAUGAUAGGGAAAAAAGGAAAACGAAAGUAGAGAUGUAAUGUGAAAUUUUUUAGGGUGGCUAGCAAACAAUUUCAUGAAAAUUACCCAAAAGGUUCAAAAAAAAAAAAAAAAAAAGGAACUUCUAAAAUUGAACUUUUAAUAAAAUGAAAUUAAUCACCAAAACUGUAGAAAAAAUGUUUAAUCAAAUUCUUAAAAAUAAUAGAUGUUUAAGCAAUGAAAUUGAAAAACUAAGCGUUUAUAUCAAUACGCUCCUAAAAUAUGUAAAAUAAUCAUGGGAACACAAACCAUACCCCUAAGAAUAAAGAGGCAACACGUGAAAUGCAUGGCUUUUCAUUUUUAGUAUAAAUACUUGAUGGUGUUCUUGGAUGAGAUUGUCCAUCUUUUACAUCUCUUUGUUUUUCGAGCUUAAUUAUGGCAGAGUUUGAAAGUGUCAAAUCUUGACGAUUUUGAUUUUUGACGUUUAUUUGUCCAGCAAUAUUGCGCACGAAUCUCUGCUUCUGCACAGCUACAAGAGAAGCUUCAAUGGCAUUGCUGCCAGGCUAACAGAGGAAGAAGCACAGAAGUUGGCUGGUUGUCUUAUGAACCCAACUUUAAUUUAUUUUUCAACUUGCAUAAACAUUAAUAGUGACCAUUGUAUGA